UGGACGGCCGUCUCUCUCUCAGACGCUCAACAGGUCUCAUGUUCAUUCUCUCUCAGAUCUGGAGAGGUAAAAGAAGGAAGACUGAACAUACAGGGCAUCGUAUAUUCAGGUCCAUGGAAGGCUCUUUUCCUCACUUUUCUCAUCUGUGCUCUUCUGGGUUCAGUUGGGUUCAUCCUCUACAAAUACAGAGAGAAACUAACAGGUACAAUCUAGUUUGAACAAUUGAAAUGAUUUUAUCUUCAGAUGGUUUUUAUGUAGGUAUUUUAUGCUUAAGUGUUGAUUUUUUUUUUUUUCAGGGAAGAAACCAGUCAAAGAAAGUAAGUAAACUACAUGUGCAUAAUUUUAACAUCCAAAAAUACAUAUGAAUAUACUUCUAUUUUCCUCAUUUGUAAGUCACUUUGGAUAAAAGCUUCUGCUAAAUGAGUAUAUGUAAAUGUAAAGGAAUCAGCUUAACAUCAGAAUUUAUUGUGGUUGAUUAAGUGGAGUAUUUGUGUAAAUAAAUUGGUAAUUAAACCCUCCA
ensembl:lncRNA